rnacentral:tRNA from 1 species
GCGGGAGUAGCUCAGUUGGUGGAGCACCUGCCCUCCAAGCAGGACGUCGCGGGUUCGAGCCCCGUCUCCCGCCCCG